CCUACGGGUGGCAGCAGUAGGGAAUCUUCCACAAUGGGCGAAAGCCUGAUGGAGCAACGCCGCGUGGGUGAAGAAGGUCUUCGGAUCGUAAAACCCUGUUGUUAGAGAAGAAAGUGCGUGAGAGUAACUGUUCACGUUUCGACGGUAUCUAACCAGAACGCCACGGCUACCUACGUGCCAGCAGCCGCGGUAAUACGUAGGUGGCAAGCGUUAUCCAGAUUUAUUUGGCGUAAAGGGAACGCAGGCGGUCUGUUAAGUCUGAUGUGAAAGCCUUCGGCUUAACCGGAGUAGUGCAUUGGAAACUGGGAGACGUGAGUGCAGAAGAGGAGAGUGGAACGCAAUGUGUAGCGGUGAAAUGCGUAGAUAUAUGGAAGAACACCAGUGGCGAAAGCGGCUCGCUGGUCGGUAACUGACGCUGAGGUUCGAAAGCGUGGGUAGCAAACAGGAUUAGAUACCCUAGUAGGC
rnacentral:rRNA from 1 species